rnacentral:misc_RNA from 1 species
CCAUUGCCGUUUUCAUGGGGAGGAGAGACCUCCUGUACUUGCUUAUUGUGCUGUUGAGCAGCAGGAUGACUAUGACCACCGACGCCAUGAACGCGGUGGCGUUGCAGUAGAAGAAUGCCUUGUAUCGCCGUGGAUCGGCGUCAUGGAGGAUCGGGUCGCCGGUGAAAUGGCCGUCCCGGUCAUCAGGCCAAAGCCCUCCUGGCGGGAGCAGCCCAGCCUGGUAGGUGACGCUCGCCGCGAAGGUCCCAAUCAGAAUAAGAUCUUUUCGCCAUUUAUGCUCAGGUUUCUGGCUGGCCACGAUGCUUCGCUUGCCGUCCUUGGAUGGAUGCGGACUCUUGAAAGGAG